GACGAACGCUGGCGGCGUGCUUAACACAUGCAAGUCGAACGAAGAGCGAUGGAAGCUUGCUUCUAUCAAUCUUAGUGGCGAACGGGUGAGUAACGCGUAAUCAACCUGCCCUUCAGAGGGGGACAACAGUUGGAAACGACUGCUAAUACCGCAUACGAUCCAAUCUCGGCAUCGGGACUGGAUGAAAGGUGGCCUCUAUUUAUAAGCUAUCACUGAAGGAGGGGAUUGCGUCUGAUUAGCUAGUUGGAGGGGUAACGGCCCACCAAGGCGAGGAUCAGUAGCCGGUCUGCGAGGAUGGACGGCCACAUUGGGACUGAGACACGGCCCAGACUCCUACGGGAGGCAGCAGUGGGGAAUCUUCCGCAAUGGACGAAAGUCUGACGGAGCAACGCCGCGUGAGUGAUGACGGCCUUCGGGUUGUAAAGCUCUGUUAAUCGGGACGAAUGGUUCUUGUGCGAAUAGUGCGAGGAUUUGACGGUACCGGAAUAGAAAGCCACGGCUAACUACGUG
rnacentral:rRNA from 1 species